ensembl:lncRNA DANT1 DXZ4 associated non-coding transcript 1, proximal
GGCUCUAGGAAGACCGGAUUCCUCUCCCUUCCCCUCCCCGGAUUCUUUCAGCCCUCACCUCCCAGGAAUGGGGAGGGGGCAUCCUACCCCAUAUCUGAGGUGCGACUGCGGGACGUAGAGCGGACUGGGCCUUUCCCGUUGGCGCGUGGCCUCAAUCAGGCACAUGUGGGCAAGAAGAACCAGACAGUCCAAGAAACCCAAUCAUGUUGAGACAUGGAGAGCAGAAAAGGAAGCGAGCCCGGAAGAAGUGGAACUUCACAUCAAUGUAGUGCUCCCAAACUUUGGCAGUUGCAACUGAUCGUGUGAUAAAUCAUUCAGGCCAAGUGAGAGACAGUAAGAGAAAUGCAAAAGAGCCCAUGGCCUGUGACACUACUUCCAGUUCUACCACCCACCCGGGGGAACUUCCUUCUUGAUCCCCAAAGGCAAGUUGAGGCAAGUAACAGUUGGAUGUCACCCUGUUUAUCCUGGGAACAUUGGCCUGCAGUCAACAGCAGAAGUGCAUUUUUAGGUGGAAGAUGAAUGUCUGGAUAGCAGUCUCUGAUGGAGAGGCACAUGUGUCCACAUGGAUCUCUCUCUGAAUUCAGGUGGAAUGAAGGAAUCUGUUCUAUUUGGGAACUUUUCUGCUACUGGCACUUCCAAGAGGAGAAGCUUCUCCCAAAGUUCCAGGCUUGGAGGUUCAUCCUCCCAUUAUCUUUACAUUCUGUGUCAUGCCAAGGAAAGAAGACAUGCCACCUAUUACCUUGAGAAGUUCCCGUAGGUCCCUUACUAUUCUUAAACUCUACAAAGUGGGUGUGACCCCCAUCCCUGUGCAUGCUCCUUUGUUAACUUUGGCCACUCAUUCUUCACAUUCUUGAAAGCGCCAGAACCCACCAAUAAAUGGCCGGGUCCUCUGCUUAACCAGAUUGUUUCCUGCAAAGCGACAUGUCCUCCAAGCUUCAAUCUCACAUGCCAUGUUGGAUCUGGCCUAAUUCCACCUCCAAUACAGAGGAGGCAUGGAGAUGUCUGGGUUAAUGUGCCAGGUCAUAGCACCAUUUACAGCGUUUUCUGAGUGUACCCCAGCAGUCCUUUCUGGCAUGUAGCAGGCUCUCUCCACAAGAAGCCCAAUUGGUUCUUCCUUCUGCAUGCUCUUGGCUUCCUGGACUUCAGAAGGCCAAGGAAGACUCUCUUCCCUCCCAGUUUAAACCUAAACAUGGCAAGGACCUGGGAACUCCCCAAAGAACAGGAGGGAGCCUUGGAAGGUUCCAAAACAGAAACGAGCACAGGUUCCAAGACAACCAUCUGAUCCUUUGAGACAUAGACACAACAAAUGAGGUCCUCAGGGGUGCAUAGUAUCUCAUGGUGGCCAGGCCUGGUGUUGCCUCAAUCUCAUCUAGUAAAGUCUGGGUUUAGGCCCCACAGGGCCCCAGACAGCACAUCUUCUUCUUUAAGAUGGUGGACCAUCCCAGCACUGGCCAUCUCAGGCACCAAUAGCCAAAGAAUUACAGUGCUGGGAGUGAUCUUUCACUAGGGUGCACUAUGGCCAAGGGAGUCUCUCAGGGCCUGGGACCCACCUAGGCCUUCCCACCCAUUGUUCCCAGGGGAAAGGGAACCAGGCAAAAUGCCCAUGGCCUUGAGAUGGGGCUCCCUGGUGGAGGCCUUUGCUAGUCUUGCCCAGACAUGGCUGCCACCAGCCUCUUGAGCCACAGCUUUCUGUAUGGGACCCGCCAGGUGUCCUGGAUGUCCAGCUCUUUUUGACACCUGUCCCUGGAGUUUCCAGAACCUGAACAGGUCAUGAGCCAUGCUUCCCGCAUGCCUCUGGAUAGCUUAUAUGGGCAGAGCUCCUAGUCUUGCCUGAAUCCUGACAGUACUACCAAGCCACUCCUCCCCAAGCAACCACAGGGAAGGGUGAUUGUGAUUGCCAUACAUGUUCCUCUUGAUGGCAGUACUGUACCAGAAUUACCAGCAAACUUCCUCCCCUCCCUCAAGAUCCUGUCCCUGUGCCAUCUGUUAUUAAAGAAACAGCCAAGAAGUAUCCAUUGUAGCUGAUUACUGGGUGCCUAGUUCUCACAACUGGUACAUCCUGCAUAACCUCUUCCCAGUCUGGUGAUCUGUCGCUCUCACAUGCCAUCUACUUGUCUUCAAACAAUAAAGAUCCCACACUUGGGCUGGCCAGGAGAGGACACAGAUGCCAUAACAGGAAUACCCACCUCCUUGCACAUGACCCAUGGUCAGUGACUGAACAACUCUCCAUAGAAGGCUUGUAGAUGCAGGUAUACUGUAGAUGCAGGUAUACUUCUAAGCCUCUUGAGUUUCAGCUUGGAAGAGAAUGACAGCUCUUUAAGAUACCACAUUUCCUCUAUGUUCCUCCUGAGAGUGUUGAAAGAUAGAUUUAAAGACCAUGGGGAGAUUGGUACCAGGCUGUGGGCAUGAACAUGCGUCCCCACUCCGUUCUGCAGGAGCACCCUCUUAGAGUUCAGCCUGAGCACACAAGUCCUCAUUAGUCAGGAGAAGGGCCAUAGUGCAGCAAGCCAGGCCCAGGAGGGAUCAGGUGACAUCAGGCAGAAAAGUGAGUGAGCACAUAAUUUAAUGCAAGGCAAAAGUCCAGAAGAUCUGGCUCCCUUCCCUGGGUCCCAAACAGACUUUUCUGCCCCAGUGAGGCUGGGAUCAUUUAUUAUGGGCAAUAAAGGGAGCCCAAAAGUCCUAUCACUGGCAGAUGGCCUCACGAAGUUCUAGGCCCAACCCAUUUCCAACCUCCCCUGCUCUUUAGGACAGAGACCUUGAGUUUCAUGAAGUAACCCAAUCCCCUUAACGGUACACAUCAUACCUAGGUGCUCAUUCAGAUGCUUCCCUACUUUGAGCCCACCAUCAAGACUUUACUCAUGAGCCUUUCCUACCAAGCAUGGUAGAAAGCUAUAGAAGAGGAUACAAAUGCCCCAUGCCAGCUAUCUACAUGCCCUAGUAGUCUCUCUUGGAGGAGUGCUGAAAUCCCAGAACCACUGCCCCACUUAUAACAUAAAACAGACUCUUCAAAAAGAAGAAGAAAAAAAAACCACUUGCCCAUAACCCCAGCACCUACAGACAACCCAGGCUUGCAGUUUUCCUCUCUUUCUGUCUAUUCUGUGUUCCCUGAAACAAGAUAGCCAACUGUCCUUCACUGUAUGUGGGAUGGACUGCUAAAGUGACAUUCAAAACAUAGCAGUGUACAUAUACCCCAUGAAAGCAACUGGGUGAGGGCUUUUAGGCUAGGAUAUCAGCUCUCUAGUGUCCUGUCAUCUAUGGAGAAAGCAUAUCAUGAAAAUCAACUCUACUCAUCUGGAAAUCACACAAAUGCUACUCGAGGCUGUCAUAAAGAGGCAGCUCUCCUGGAAUUGUCUUGUAUAAAACCAGAGGAUAUCUGUCCCUCAGUUCUCCUUUCUGUGGGUACCCUGACUUUCUCACCUUGGCGUCUCCCCUCACAGUAUUUCUUUCCUGGUUACUUUACUUAUAUGAGUAUGGAAGAAUAAAUUUCCAAGUAUGUUCA